rnacentral:rRNA from 1 species
UACGAAGGGGGGCUAGCGUUGCUCGGAUUGACUGGGCGUAAAGGGCGCGUAGGCGGUUCGUACAGUCAGACGUGAAAUUCCUGGGCUCAACCUGGGGGCUGCGUUUGAUACGUGCGGACUUGAGUGCGGAAGAGGGUCGUGGAAUUCCCAGUGUAGAGGUGAAAUUCGUAGAUAUUAGGAAGAACACCGGUGGCGAAGGCGGCCCACUGGAUCGGUACUGACGCUGAGGUGCGAAAGCGUGGGGAGCAAACAGG